rnacentral:rRNA from 1 species
CCUACGGGAGGCAGCAGUGGGGAAUAUUGCACAAUGGGGGAAACCCUGAUGCAGCGACGCCGCGUGAGUGAAGAAGUAUUUCGGUAUGUAAAGCUCUAUCAGCAAGGAAGAAACUGACGGUACCUGAUUAAGAAGCCCCGGCUAACUACGUGCCAGCAGCCGCGGUCAUACGUAGGGGGCAAGCGGUAUCCGGAUUUACUGGGUGUAAAGGGAGCGUAGACGGCAGCACAAGUCUGGUGUGAAAUGCCGGGGCUUAACCCCGGAACUGCUUUGGAAACUGUGCAGCUAGAGUGCAGGAGAGGUAAGUGGAAUGCCUAGUGUAGCGGUGAAAUGCGUAGAUAUUAGGAGGAACACCAGUGGCGAAGGCGGCUUACUGGACUGUAACUGACGUUGAGGCUCGAAAGCGUGGGGAGCAAACAGGAUUAGAUACCCGGGUAGUC